rnacentral:rRNA from 1 species
GACGAACGCUGGCGGCGUGCUUAAUACAUGCAAGUCAACUGAACUUUAGGUAGCAAUAUUUAAAGGGAGGUGGCGCACGGGUGAGUAACACGUAGGUAAUCUGCCUUCAGGACUGACAUAAUUCCGCGAAAGCGGGACUAAAAUCAGAUGAUGCAGCGGCUCGACAUCGAGACAGUUGUUAAACCUUCGGGGCCUGAAGAUGAGCCUGCGUCUGAUUAGGUAGUUGGCGGGGUAAAAGCCCACCAAGCCUGCGAUCAGUAGCUGGUCUGAGAGGAUGAUCAGCCACACUGGAACUGAGACACGGUCCAGACUCCUACGGGAGGCAGCAGUAAGGAAUAUUGCUCAAUGGCCGAAAGGCUGAAGCAGCAACGCCGCGUGGAGGAUGAAAUACUUUAGUAUGUAAACUCCUGUAAGAGGGGAAAAAUAUACAGCUAUGCUGUGUUGAUUGUACCCUCAGAGUAAGCACCGGCU